AGGAUUAGUUCAGUGGUAGAACAUCUGCCUUCCAAGCAGAAUAUGCGAGUUCGAUUCUCGUAUCCU
rnacentral:tRNA from 1 species